ensembl:lncRNA
AAAGAUUGAGGUCAAUGACGGAAGUAUGCGCACGUGAGGUGACCACGCCCCUCUUUCCAUGCCCUGAAGCAGCGCGCCAUUUUGUUCAUCUUCUGCCUGCAGCGAGCGACUUCAACUUACUCUCGCCCUUUUUUCAGGAAUGUAUGGACAAACUGAACCUCAGGAACUUGGUGUCUAUUUCAAUGGAUGGGCCCAAUGUGAAUUGGAAACUCUUCGACCUUUUCCAGAAAGAUCAAGCUGAGCAGUACGGAGGUCUUCAGCUCGUUUGUGUGGGGAGCUGUGGCCUACACACGCUACACAACUCCUUCAAGUAAAACCUUCCGGUUGUGGAGAGAGCCCUGGCAGUCUGGCCAUCAUUUCUCCUGUACAUGGAAGCUGUGAAAACAAAGAGACUCCCGAACCCUGGAACAGCAUCAUAUGACACAGUUGCAGCAGCCAUAAAGGAUCCACUCGUCUUGGCCAAAUUGCAGUUCUACGCAGCAAUUGCCAGGACCUUCAAUUCCUUCCUGAAAAAAUAUCAGACGGAUGAGCCUGUGCUCCCAUUCCUCCCCAAGGACCUGACCGAGUUGAUGAUGAGUCUACUCAGACGCUUCAUAAAAGUACUACACGAUAUCACUGUCCUGCAGCUGACCAAACUGGAUGUCACAGACAAGACCAUCUGGCUCAGCCCACAAGACAUCAGCAUUGGUCUAGGUGCAGAGUCAGUCCUUUAGAGAAUCAAAGGUGCAGAGCUCAGGGUGCUCGAGUUCAAGAGAGAGUGCAUGCAUGGACUGAGUAACAUGAUCAAGAAAUUGCAGG